ACUUCGUUAGUGUUAUGAGGGUUACUCGGUUAGUGUUAUAGGGGUUACUUCGUCGGUGGUAUAAGGGUUACUCAGUAAAUGUUACAGGGAUUACUCGGUCAAUGUUAUAGGGGUUACACGGUCAACGUUACAGGGAUUACACAGUCAGUGUUUUAGAGGUUACUUUGUUUUUUUUUUUUUACAACCGGCUACAUGGUGUGGCUAGCCACACUCUAGACCUGCUAUUUUUUAUUUGACAAACCUUAUUAAUAUUUAUUGCUCUUUUUUGAACUCUUAUAUGAAAUUAAGAAUAGGGUGUAGACAUUUAUAACUUAAAAAUAUUUGUUUACAUAUUUUUCAUGAUACCAACAACUAAUAUCGAAAGAGCUCCAUAGACAUAGCUAAUAAAGUGGACUUCAUAACUAACAUUAAAGGACGAACGGAGUACGAAAUGUGGUAGUCGCUAGUCGGUAAUCAUAGACGGAGUACCAAAUCACGUAAUUAAGCGAUAAUCAAAUCGCCACUCUACGUAAGCAAUUGAAGUAUAAACGGGUCCCCUACUCCCCAUAUAAAAAGUUAGUCACACUAUGCCAGAUAUUUUUUCUCGCUCCUUCUUUCGCUUUCUCGAACCCAAGGAUUUAUGCAGAUGGAUUCUAUCAUUUUAAUUUGUCUCCGAGCUUGAACAAUCGAAUUCUUAAUUGUGAAUGAGAAGAAUUACGAGGAAUGCAAUUUGAAACACACGUUGCUGUUUAUUUGAUGGCUACAAGUGGUUGGUAGUUCGAUGGUUAACAGAUUAUUGAGAAUUAUCUAAGAAUCAAAGAUUGAGGUUGUUUAUUUCUGAGGGAUUGAAAUAAACGUUGAUGUUUGCUAUUUCUUGGAGCUGUUGUCUUAGAUAGGAGAUUUUGUCAACCAGUUCAUUCGAAAUGUGUCGUCUUUCACACAACUUUUAUCGUGGGGCUCUGCCUUUAUUGAUAUGAAGCCAGAAGGUGAACAAAAUCACAGUGAGAAGCACGGCAUCCAAUUUUCAGCAUCAUAUAUCAGGAUUAAGUAGUACUAUGUGUCAAACAAUUCACGGCGUCCAAUUUUCAGCAUAAGACGUGGAAAAUUAUCUGGAUAGUUGGGUCAUUAGACUGCUGUGGUAAUAUAACUAUAGAGUAAUAGGGAGAUGGUGAUGAAUGAAAUGAGGGCCCAUACAAUGAUGACAGGAGAGGGAUGCAGGUUGUUACUUUAUUGCAUCCAUUGCUGGCUGGGUAGCAGUGCAGAAUGGAAACACACUUUGUUGCAUUUUUGGUGCUGUUACUGCAAUAGUUUUAAAUUGUUUUUAGCUGAUAACCUGAAGUAGUUUGUAAAUAACCCUGUCUGAUUGUUAGAGGUGAGAUUGUGUAUAUCUUAAAUCCUGACCUUUCAAAAUUUCAUGUUUCAGUAGUUGCUACUGUAAUCUUCUGGUAGUUGUUAUUGUCUUAUGUUUUUGUUGCUUCUGCUUUUCUACUUUAUAGAGAAUUCUUAUUGCUUUCCAUUGAGAGUAGUAAUGGUUUUUAUUUGCAUUUUGUUAUGAUAAAUUAUUAUAUUAUAUGAUUUCUUAGUUAACCUAGCUUGAAACUUUUAUUUAUAGUCUUGAAAUAUAAUAUUGCACUCGGACUAGCGGCUUGCAAAUUUCUGAUACUUAAGUAAGUUUUAACCAUUCCUCAAUAAAUAAAUAAAUAAAUAAUUAAAUAAAUAAAAUAAAAUACUGUAAAAUACUGUAAAAUUAAGAGCAAAUAUUUGCCUGUGAAUAUGAAGAAGUGAUUUUCUGUUAACUUCCAAACAAAAAGAAGAUUUUCCUGUUUUCAUUUAUAUUUGUCU